GUGCCCAUGGCUCAAUUGGAUAGAGCACUCGGCUACGGACCGAGGGAUUAGGGGUUCAAGUCCUCUUGGGCACGCCA
rnacentral:tRNA from 1 species